rnacentral:SRP_RNA from 1 species
GCCGGGUGCAGUGGCUCACACCUGUAAUCCCAGCACUUUGGGAGGCUGAGGUGGGCGGAUCACCUGAGGUCAGGAGUUCAAGAUCAGCCUGGCCAACAUGGUGAGACCCCAUCUCUA